rnacentral:rRNA from 1 species
AUUGAACGCUGGCGGCAGGCUUAACACAUGCAAGUCGAGCGAGCGGCGGACGGGUGAGUAAUGUCUGGGAAACUGCCUGAUGGAGGGGGAUAACUACUGGAAACGGUAGCUAAUACCGCAUACCAUCAGAUGUGCCCAGAUGGGAUUAGCUAGUAGGUGGGGUAAUGGCUCACCUAGGCGACGAUCCGUAGCCGGUUUGAGAGGACGACGCGCCACACUGGAACUGAGACACGGCCCAGACUCCUACGGAGGGCGGCAGUGGGGAAUUUUGGACAAUGGGGAAAACCCUGAUCCAGCCAUCCCGCGUGUGCGAUGAAGGCCUUGGGGUUGUAAAGCACUUUUGGCAGGAAAGCGGUACCUGCAGAAAAAGCACCGGCUAACUACGUGCCAGCAGCCGCGGUAAUUC